UACGUAGGCAGCAAGCGUUGUUCGGAAUUACUGGGCGUAAAGAGUGUGUAGGCGGUGCUCCAAGUCUGGUGUGAAAUCUCCCGGCUUAACUGGGAGGGUGCAUUAGAAACUGGAAUGCUAGAGGAUGGGAGAGGUAAGCGGAAUUCCUGGUGUAGCGGUGAAAUGCGUAGAUAUCAGGAGGAACACCUGGUGGUGUAGACAGCUUACUGGACCAUUUCUGACGCUGAGGUGCGAAAGCGUGGGGAGCAAACAGG
rnacentral:rRNA from 1 species